rnacentral:lncRNA from 1 species
CGGAGGGUGUGUCCUCCACCCGGGGACAUCCGUCGUCGGUCCAUCCUGCGCACCAUCGCGUGUCUGCCUGCAUUAAUACUAACUGUUUUCAUUAUAAUUGCGCCGUUUCUCCAUCUCUUUCAGUGCUUUGCGCACUCACAUUGCAGAGAAUAGAGAUCAUUAAAUGCUCUGCAAGUUCACGCUCCUUAUUCCUGAUUCCGUACUACGGUAAUGUUCAUUGAUUGUGUCCAAGACCACCGAAAAAGCUGGAAGUACCGUAUUCCUCCCUUUUUCAACGAUUCCCAAAGUUACUGCAUUAGGAUACUACGAAACCCGCAAAAGUAACGUCGAGGUGUUGCGCGCUGUGCUGAAAACAAUUUCCACGAUAGUAACUCUCGGCUCAUUCACACCGAAUUUAUGUCACUUUUCUACGCAUGAUUUUCUGUUAAGUCGUUUCUCUUGAUCCUUUGAGUGUCCGGGAAUAAUAUGGCCUUUUUCCCCGUUUUGAGCAUCUGCGGAUCUCUGGUGGACAUCAAAGGGCAGCCGCCCAAUUAAGGCCGAGUCAAAGGGCGGACGGUGACGCUGCGUCGCUCGUUAGCGCGCGCUCGGAGCGGCUGUCUUCUCAUUGUCGCGCUGCCAGGGGGAACAGGCGUCCACAAAUGUCAAGACAGGGGCAGGGCAGCGGAUAAGGAUGUUGCUUUCGUAAUCUGAAGGUUUCCGGGUUCGACGCUUACCCCUGCCGUGUUACCCUCCCGUGAGAAUACCCUGGUGUAUGGAUAAAUGGAUAAAUCAUCAAGGCAGCAGUGUUGGUGGAAGGGGAGUCAUGCAGGCGUGUCGCCAAGAACUAAGGACAUCGAUGCACACGCACACUUCCGAGGCACCCGGUGGCUGAGGUCACAACUUUCUCAGACUAAAGCAAGGGAUUGUAGAAAGGCCUGGGAAAAAAAAUUUAAAAACAUGCACAUUUUUAGCAAUAGUUUCUGAUAAAAAAAGGAAAAAAAAUACAAGGAACAAAGUGUAAUGGUCCAUUUCAUUCAUUCAGCACAAAUGUAGCUAUUACCUCUACAAACGUUAUCACCAUAAUGUUAUUUUUUAUUUACUGCAUACAAUACUUCUGAGAGUGGGGCAUAACAGAGCUCAGCAAGAGUUCAAAAAAAUGUAAGAAAUAAAAUAGAACUCAGUAAUGAUCA